rnacentral:rRNA from 1 species
AUGAACGCUGGCGGCGUGCCUAAUCCAUGCCAGUCGAGCGAACAGACGAGGAGCUUGCUCCUCUGACGUUAGCGGCGGACGGGUGAGUAACACGUGGAUAACCUACCUAUAAGACUGGGAUAACUUCGGGAAACCGGAGCUAAUACCGGAUAAUAUAUUGAACCGCAUGGUUCAAUAGUGAAAGACGGUUUUGCUGUCACUUAUAGAUGGAUCCGCGCCGCAUUAGCUAGUUGGUAAGGUAACGGCUUACCAAGGCAACGAUGCGUAGCCGACCUGAGAGGGUGAUCGGCCACACUGGAACUGAGACACGGUCCAGACUCCUACGGGAGGCAGCAGUAGGGAAUCUUCCGCAAUGGGCGAAAGCCUGACGGAGCAACGCCGCGUGAGUGAUGAAGGUCUUCGGAUCGUAAAACUCUGUUAUUAGGGAAGAACAAAUGUGUAAGUAACUAUGCACGUCUUGACGGUACCUAAUCAGAAAGCCACGGCUAACUACGU